AUUCCAGCUCCAGUAGCGUAUAUUAAUGUUGUUGCAGUUAAAAAGCUCGUAGUUGGAUUUCUGACUUGACGCGCCUGGCCCGCCUUGCAUUUCGCGGGUGAGUGCCGGAGCGCGUCGGUCAUCCUUCUAGAGAACGGCGCUACCCUUCACUGGGUCGGCGUCGCAAUCUAGAUCUUUUACUUUGAAAAAAUUAGAGUGUUCUAGGCAGGCUCGCGCUGUGAAUACAUUAGCAUGGAAUAAUAAUCUAGGACUUUGUUCCUAUUCUGUUGGUUUCUAGGAAUUAAGUAAUGAUUGAUAGGGAUAGUUGGGGGUGCUAGUAUUCAGCGGCCAGAGGUGAAAUUCUUGGAUUCGCUGAAGACUAACUUAUGCGAAAGCAUUCACCAAGGAUGUCUUCAUUA
rnacentral:rRNA from 1 species